UACAGGGGGUGCAAACGUUGCUCGGAAUUAUUGGGCGUAAAGCGCGCGUAGGCGGCUACCUAAGUCGGAUGUGAAAGCCCCUGGCUCAACUGGGGAAGUGCACCCGAAACUGAGUAGCUAGAGUGCAAAAGAGGGACGCGGAAUUCCCGGUGUAGAGGUGAAAUUCGUAGAUAUCGGGAGGAACACCGGUGGCGAAGGCGGCGACCUGGGUUGACACUGACGCUGAGGCGCGAAAGCGUGGGGAGCAAACAGG
rnacentral:rRNA from 1 species